rnacentral:rRNA from 1 species
UUUGGGAGUGUCUCCCUUCUCGGGAGACUCUCUCGACCCCACGAACCCUUGACCUCAAAUCGGGUGAGACUACCCGCUGAACUUAAGCAUAUCA